rnacentral:rRNA from 1 species
AUUGAACGCUGGCGGCAGGCUUAACACAUGCAAGUCGAGCGGGGAAAGGUAGCUUGCUACCUGACCUAGCGGCGGACGGGUGAGUAAUGCUUAGGAAUCUGCCUAUUAGUGGGGGGCAACAUCUCGAAAGGGAUGCUAAUACCGCAUACGUCCUACGGGAGAAAGCAGGGGACCUUCGGGCCUUGCGCUAAUAGAUGAGCCUAAGUCGGAUUAGCUAGUUGGUGGGGUAAAGGCCUACCAAGGCGACGAUCUGUAGCGGGUCUGAGAGGAUGAGCCGCCACACUGGGACUGAGACACGGCCCAGACUCCUACGGGAGGCAGCAGUGGGGAAUAUUGGUCAAUGGGGGGAACCCUGAUCCAGCCAUGCCGCGUGUGUGAAGAAGGCCUUUUGGUUGUAAAGCACUUUAAGCGAGGAGGAGGCUACCGAGAUUAAUACUCUUGGAUAGUGGACGUUACUCGCAGAAUAAGCACCGGCUAACUCUGUGCCAGCCGCCGCCGUAA